rnacentral:rRNA from 1 species
UACGAAGGGGGCUAGCGUUGCUCGGAAUCACUGGGCGUAAAGCGCACGUAGGCGGGUCCUUAAGUCGGGGGUGAAAUCCCGGAGCUCAACUCCGGAACUGCCUUCGAUACUGGCGAUCUUGAGUCCGGAAGAGGUGAGUGGAACUCCUAGUGUAGAGGUGGAAUUCGUAGAUAUUAGGAAGAACACCAGUGGCGAAGGCGGCUCACUGGUCCGGUACUGACGCUGAGGUGCGAAAAGCGUGGGAGGAACAAGAUGAUACUA